rnacentral:rRNA from 1 species
UACGUAGGGACCGAGCGUUGUCCGGAUUCAUUGGGCGUAAAGAGCUCGUAGGCGGCUUGUCGCGUCGUCCGUGAAAACCCACAGCUCAACUGUGGGCUUGCGGUCGAUACGGGCAGGCUAGAGUUCGGUAGGGGAGACUGGAAUUCCUGGUGUAGCGGUGAAAUGCGCAGAUAUCAGGAGGAACACCGGUGGCGAAGGCGGGUCUCUGGGCAGUAACUGACGCUGAGGAGCGAAAGCGUGGGGAGCGAACAGG